AUGGAGGCGCAGGGCUGUGGUGCGUCGAGUAUUCGGCCGGACGGACGGCGGCCAGUCUGGGACCUAAUCUGGAAGAACGGGGCACCAGCUAAAGUAUGUGUAUUUGCAUGGAGUGCUGCUUGUGAGUCCCUAGCUACUCAAGCUACCAAGAACCGCAUGCAUAUGGAGCAAGAUCCUACAUGUGUACUAUGCGGCCAUGCGGUGGAGGAUGUGCAUCAUGCCCUGGUACAAUGCCCCCAUGCAGUCGCACUCUGGGCAGCCAUGAGAGACUACUGGGACCUCCCGACCAUAGAAGACCUGUGUGAUGCCGAGCCCGAAUGGCUGUUUUGUCUGCUUGACAACUUGUCUGAUGUACAGAGGUUGGCUUCCCUGAUGAUCAUGUGGAGGAUUGGGUACGCGAGGAAUGAGAUCACUCAUAAUAAACCACCGCCUGAUGCACUCAUGCACACGCUUGAUCCAAGUGCUAAACUAUCAGUAGAAACCAACUUGACCCUGUUGCCGGUGCAACAGGGUCACUCCAUGCAGCUCCGCCCCUGGAUACAGCAGCACCCGGAGGUGGAUUUGACAAAAGGAAAGCAGGUGAUUGACCUCUCAGGAACCAUGCCGAAGAGCACACAUGCAAUAACAGUAGCGCCGCGCAGGGAGGUUCCCGAUGCAAACCAUGCAAAACUUAAUAUUGAUGGCGCUUUUGUUAAGGAAAAUGGCACGGCUGGGGCUGGCAUGAUUUUACGUGAUCAUGAAGGUGAUGUCAUCUUUGCCGCGAUACGGGUCCUUUUUAACUGUGGUGAUCCCUUGGAAGCCGAGAUGGCGGCGCUGGAUGAAGGACUACAACUUGCUCUCCAUUGGACUAACCUGCCGCUGCUUGUUGAAACGGAUUGUGCCGAGCUGUUAAAGAUGGUGCAGUCAAAAGAUAAAGACCGGUCGAGGUAUGCGUACCGGGUUAAUGAGAUCAGAAGAGUUCUGGCUCAAGAAAGGAACAUUAGUCUAGCUAAGAUCAGUAGGCACGCAAAUUUGGCGAGCCACACCCUAACUUGUAUGGGUUGCUUGCAACAGCGCACGGCAUGCUGGCUCCGGAAUUCCUCUAGGGAGAUAGCUAGCAUAGUCGAAUCUGAAUGCAAUAAAAUUGCGACCCCGAGCUCCGACCCGACGCUGCUGGCCGCACGUUCUCCCGAUGACCCUGACAUCCCUCCCCGACAGAUCCAAGUUGCAUCAACCACGAUCCUACACAUGGAACUUCCCAUCGACGACUUCCGUCCUAGAUCGAGCGCGGCAUCCCGUACCUGGAUGCGCUACCAGUUGCGGCCAAUUCUCCAGAGCUCGCGCCCAGCACCACAUUCGCGUCCUCCUCCUCGGUUAUCGCAUGAUCCAGCUCCCAGCUCCAUCGCCACCGUCUCCCCUCCAACCAUGGUCCGGGAGGGUGGAGGUGGGUUCGUGCACGACUCCCCUCCCACGGCCUCCCCGCGACGCCCCCUGCAGAUCCGACCACCACAACCAUCGACAUGGCAUGGAGUAUGCACUCCCGGCCGUGUGCUGAGCGUCCUCUCCAUCAGCCACCACUGCCCCCUCCCAGACCAGGAUUCUUACCGUCGCGCGAAUUGUGGAUCUUUCUCUUCUCUCCUCUACGUCCAUGAUGAUGAUCGGCUACAGCAGCUACACACCAAGUUCAUGUUGGUGACCUCUAUUUAUUUCUCCUUCUACUCAGGCAAGGAGAGAGAAAACCGCUUCCAUGUGGCAGGUUUUUCAGUGAAACAUACAUGGUUUUGGGACUUGGGGGACCAAAUGUCAUCUAAAAGUUGUUCCUAG
rnacentral:rRNA from 1 species